CCUACGGGUGGCUGCAGUCGAGGAUCUUCGGCAAUGGGCGAAAGCCUGACCGAGCGACGCCGCGUGUGGGAUGAAGGCCUUCGGGUUGUAAACCACUGUCGUAGAGGAGGAAAUUCUAGGGGGUUCUCCCCUUAGUUUGACCUAUUCUAGGAGGAAGUCAGGGCUAAGUUCGUGCCAGCAGCCGCGGUAAGACGAACCUGACGAACGUUAUUCGGAAUUACUGGGCUUAAAGGGUGCGUAGGCGGCGUGGCAAGUUGGGUGUGAAAUCCCUCGGC
rnacentral:rRNA from 1 species